rnacentral:rRNA from 1 species
CGGCGGACGGGUGAGUAACGCGUGGGUAACCUGCCUCAUACAGGGGGAUAACAGUUGGAAACGGCUGCUAAUACCGCAUAAGCGCACAGUACCGCAUGGUACCGUGUGAAAAACUCCGGUGGUAUGAGAUGGACCCGCGUCUGAUUAGCUAGUUGGUGGGGUAACGGCCUACCAAGGCGACGAUCAGUAGCCGACCUGAGAGGUUGAACGGCCACAUUGGGACUGAGACACGGCCCAG